rnacentral:rRNA from 1 species
GACAAUACUGACGCUGAGAUGCGAAGCGUGGGGAGCAAACAGGAUUAGAUACCUGGUAGUCCACGCUGUAAACGAUGUCGAUUUGGAGUUUGGGGGCAUGACCCUUGGGCUCCGGAGCUAACGCGUUAAAUCGACCGCGUGGGGAGUACGGCCGCAAGGUUAAAACUCAAAUGAAUUGACGGGGGCCCGCACAAGCGGUGGAGCAUGUGGUUUAAUUCGAUGCAACGCGAAGAACCUUACCUGGUCUUGACAUCCAUAGAAUCUUGUAGAGAUACGAGAGUGCCUUCGGGAGCUAUGAGACAGGUGCUGCAUGGCUGUCGUCAGCUCGUGUUGUGAAAUGUUGGGUUAAGUCCCGCAACGAGCGCAACCCUUAUCCUUUGUUGCCAGCGGGUAAAGCCGGGAACUCAAAGGAGACUGCCGUUGAUAAAGCGGAGGAAGGUGGGGACGACGUCAAGUCAUCAUGGCCCUUACGACCAGGGCUACACACGUGCUACAAUGGCGUAUACAAAGGGAAGCGAAGGUGCGAACUGGAGCGGACCUCCUAAAGUACGUCUAAGUCCGGAUUGGAGUCUGCAACUCGACUCCAUGAAGUCGGAAUCGCUAGUAAUCGUGAAUCAGAAUGUCACGGUGAAUACGUUCCCGGGCCUUGUACACACCGCCCGUCACACCAUGGGAGUGGGUUGCACCAGAAGUAGAUAGCUUAACCGCAAGGGGGGCGUUUACCACGGUGUGAUUCAUGACUGGGGUGAAGUCGUAACAAGGUAACCA